CGAAGCGCUUAGAAGAGGCCUCCCCGGUGAAGAUAGCAGCCCGGAACCACUAUCCCACCGGACCACCUCCUCACCGGACAGCCCUACAGGACCGGACCAGCGCCGAGCGGAGGGAACAGAGUGCAGGAAAUGUUCACUGAGCAGCAUCAGUGCCCACAGAUCCGGAGAAUAUAGCUCCAGAUGACACCAAAUAUGAAGACUCUCCUGGGGUUACUCAGUGCUGUCCUGUCACUUCAAUGUGUCACUUCACAGAUCUCUAUGGUGGAGUCUGGUCCUGGGAUUGUGAAACCAUCAGAGACUCUGGACAUGACCUGUAAAGUGACUGGAGCCUCCCUGACUGACAGCACUAACAUGCAUUGUGUACACUGGGUCCGACAACCUGCAGGGAAAGGUCUGGAGUGGUUAGGAAGAAUAUGUCAUAAUAAUCACAUAAAUUAUGCUGAUUCUCUUCAGGGACGAAUAACUCUCUCAAGAGACACAAAUAAAGGAGAAGUUUAUUUUAAACUCACUGGAGUGAAACCUGAAGAAUCUGGGAAAUAUUAUUGUGCUAGA